CAAGUCGAACGGUAGCACAGAGAGCUUGCUCUCGGGUGACGAGUGGCGGACGGGUGAGUAAUGUCUGGGAAACUGCCUGAUGGAGAGGGAUAACUACUGGAAACGGUAGCUAAUACCGCAUAACGUCGCAAGACCAAAGAGGGGGACCUUCGGGCCUCUUGCCAUCAGAUGUGCCCAGAUGGGAUUAGCUAGUAGGUGGGGUAACGGCUCACCUAGGCGACGAUCCCUAGCUGGUCUGAGAGGAUGACCAGCCACACUGGAACUGAGACACGGUCCAGACUCCUACGGGAGGCAGCAGUGGGGAAUAUUGCACAAUGGGCGCAAGCCUGAUGCAGCCAUGCCGCGUGUAUGAAGAAGGCCUUCGGGUUGUAAAGUACUUUCAGCGGGGAGGAAGGUGUUGCGGUUAAUAACCGCAGCAAUUGACGUUACCCGCAGAAGAAGCACCGGCUAACUCCGUGCCAGCAGCCGCGGUAAUACGGAGGGUGCAAGCGUUAAUCGGAAUUACUGGGCGUAAAGCGCACGCAGGCGGUCUGUCAAGUCGGAUGUGAAAUCCCCGGGCUCAACCUGGGAACUGCAUUCGAAACUGGCAGGCUAGAGUCUUGUAGAGGGGGGUAGAAUUCCAGGUGUAGCGGUGAAAUGCGUAGAGAUCUGGAGGAAUACCGGUGGCGAAGGCGGCCCCCUGGACAAAGACUGACGCUCAGGUGCGAAAGCGUGGGGAGCAAACAGG
rnacentral:rRNA from 1 species